rnacentral:rRNA from 1 species
GACGAACGCUGGCGGCGUGCCUAAUACAUGCAAGUUGAGCGCUGACGGUUGGUACUUUUCCCAACUGGAUGAGCAGCGAACGGGUGAGUAACGCGUGGGUCAUCUUCCUUUUAGCGGGGGACAACAUUUUGAAACGAAUGCUAAUACCGCAUAAAAACUUUAACCACAAGAUUUACGUUUUCAAGAUGCCAUUGCCUCACUCAAAGGUCAUCCCGCGUUGUAUUAGCUAGUUGGUGAGGUAAAGGCUCACCCAGGCGAAGAUACAUAGCCGACCUGAGAGGGGGGACGGCCCCAAUGGGACUGAGACACGGCCCAAACUCCCACGGGGGGCAGCAGUAGGGAAUCUUCGGCCAUGGACGAAAGUCUGACCGAGCAACGCCGCGUGAGUGAAGAAGGUUUUCGGAUCGGAAAACUCUGUUGGUAGAGAAGAACGUUCGUGAGAGUGGAAAGCUCAUCAAGUGACGGUAACUACACAGAAAGCGACGGCUAACUACGUG